rnacentral:rRNA from 1 species
UGCGUAGGCGGGAAGGUAAGUCCGCGGUGAAAUCUCACAGCUCAACUGUGAAACUGCCGUUGAUACUGCUUUUCUUGAGUUCGGGAGAGGUUGAUGGAAUUCCAGGUGUAGCGGUGAAAUGCGUAGAUAUCUGGAAGAACACCAGUGGCGAAGGCGGUCAACUGGCCCGUAACUGACGCUGAGGCACGAAAGCGUGGGGAGCGAACAGGAUUAGAUACCCUGGUAGUCCACGCCCUAAACGAUGAAUACUUGGUGUUGGUCCGUAAGGAUCAGUGCCGAAGGAAACCUGAUAAGUAUUCCACCUGGGGAGUACGCUCGCAAGGGUGAA